AGUAAACGUUUAAAUUUUGUGGCAAUCUAUGGACUUUCAGAGCGAACAACCAACGUCAAAAAACUCGGCUAUGAAGAGAAAACGAGAGAAAAAUUGGACAGAUUUCUCUAAAGAAACAACAUUUCAUGGUGUAAAGAAUAUCUUUGCCAAAGAAACAUCAUUAUUUAGGCGUAUUGGAUGGGUAUUUAUUGUUUUUGGAGCAAUUUUUCUAUUCUGUUAUCAAGUUGUAAGAAGAGGAAUGGACUAUAACAAGAAAGAUGUAACAGUAAAUGUUGAAGUGAUAUACUCAAAAAGUCUGGGAUUUCCAUCAGUUACUGUCUGCAACCAAAAUAAAUUCAGGUAAAUCUAGAAGUCUGCUUAGCCAAUACGCUUUGAAUAAUACAUUAUUUCAUACUUUUCAUAGUUUAGUGUUUUAUAUAAAGUUAGAAAUGCUACAGUAACUAUUCAAUCAAAUAUUCAUAAGGUUCCUUAUCUAAUAUUAUAAUGAGAUACUAAUUAAAUAAUUUAUUUCUAUAAAAAGGAUGAGUAGUACUGUUGAAUUGGGUUUAUAUGAAUAUAUUAGCAACAUUUACAACUCUGACUCUAAUGAAAAUACAUCAAUCUAUGAUGCAAACUUGCCUGGAAAUCUUAUAUAUGACACAGAAUUUGUCUUCAAUUACACAGCGCAUAGACAAUCUAAUUUUAUAUUUGAUUGUCAAUGGGCAAAUAAACCAUGUAAAUCUGAAUACAUUUCAAGAACUAUUACCGAGUAUGGAGUAUGUUAUACAUUCAAUUCUCCAUCUGCUCUGAAUGAAACCAAAGGCAUAAGCAUUGGUGAAUCUGGCAUGGCUAAUGCCCUCUCUUUUCUAUUCAACAUUGAGCAAUACGAACACAUGCCUGGACCCUUUAACAAUGCUGGUGUAAAAAUAGUCUUACACGACGAUUACAAAAAGCCGCUUAUAGCGGACUUGGGAUUCGCAAUUGCGCCUGGAAUGCAUACACUUGUUGGAAUAAAGCGAAUUGAAUCUUAUAAGCUCAGUAAUCCAUACGGAGAAUGUGUGAAAUCGGAAUAUAAAUCGCACGCCGAAUGUAUAGAUUACUGUCGGUUAAGCUGGGUAGCGGAUAUGUGCCACUGUAUUCCAUUCGAAGCGAUUCUCAUCCUAGGAAGGGCUAUAAAAAAUGAUAAAAGGUAUUGUAAUUUAUCAGAGACAUAUGGAUGUGUAAGAGCAUCAUUGGAAAAAGUACAAAAUGACAAAAAUAUACAUUGUUCAUGUUCUGUUCCUUGUUCACAAAUUAUUUAUGAACCUAAUCUCUCAUUUUCAUCAAUAUCAGAAUUUGCAGCCAAUAAGCUAUUAAACGGAAAUUCAACUGGAAUGAAUGAUUUAAAACAAAAAUUUUCAAAAAUUUUAGAAAUUAAAGAAAGAAGGGUUAAAAGUAAUUUUGAAAAAAAUACUGCAAUAAUCUCUCCAUUUACAACAAAAAUAUAUUUUGUCUUGCAACGACUCGAUGGUCCUUUUAGACAGUUUUUAACUGAUCAAGAAGAUAUUGCAUUGUUUAGGGCCAUUUUCUUUGAUUUAUAUAAAAUUAUGAUAAACUUUGGAACAAUGGCCGAGUCUUUUGAUUCUUAUCCAAUGAGACAUAUCAGACAACAACUACGUAUUAAAUCAAAUAAGAUUUAUCAAUAUAGAACAGGCCUAUUUGGACCAGUUUCAAUAGAGAAGGAAGAGAUGCUGACCAAUCUGGAAAACUGUAUAAAAGAUCUACACAAAAUGAAUGAAAGUUUGUUUAUUAUGGAUUGCAGUAGAUUUAUGAAACAUUUUAAAUUUUCUAAAUAUAAAAUACAUUUGAAAGACUUUCGCCUCUUUUGGAGUGUAGCUUUAAAAGAUUUUCAAGAUCAACUGAGUAGCAUAAUCCAAGCAGAAACUUUAGAGAAAAUGCAUAUUGAAGAAAUAGAAAGAAUAUUUGGUUUGAAUAUAAGUAAUCCAAAAAUACCAUUCAAUACAAUAUGUCAUCCAUUCUAUGAUAGUCUAGCAUUUAUGGAAAAUUCAAUGACAUUUCCAACUGUAUUUCAAAAUGAUAGUUAUGCUAAUAUUGGAACAAAGAUCAAUAUUGCUGUUAAAGCAUUAUUAAGCAUGGAGGAGAGUUUAUAUCAAAUUAAUUACUUUGAUGAUUCCUACUGUCUCCUUAACAAAAGAAUAUUCAUUGAGAUCGAUAAUAGAAUAAGGGAACUUUUAAUUCUUUCAGAAGACAUUUCUUUUGAAUUAGGAGAAUUUCAUAAAUCAAUAAGACCAUUUUAUGAUAUUCAUCAUUUGGUUCUCACUAAAACUCAACAAUUUCAAUCAUACUUACAUUUUAAUUCCACAAUAAAAAAGGCUAAUUUAUCAAAUUCUUUCAGUUUGAGUUGUUUACUUGAUAAUAUUAACAGUUUAAUGAAUUUCUAUGAAAAUAUACAAUCACAAAAGUCAACAUUUCAAAAUGCAAUAGAAAAAGUUUCCAGAAAACUUUCAGUUAUUGAAAAUUAUAUUGAUUUCAUAUUUAUGUGGCCAAUUGCAGUCAAACAUCCAGACAAUACAGAUAUUCAAUACACUGAUGUAAAUCAGGUUUAUUCAAUAAUUAAUAAGAAGAAAAAUGAAAAUAAUCUCAAUCUUAAUUGUCCAAAAGAAAGAUUGCAGAAUUUUUCAGGAUAUACUUGGAGUACUUGUUUAAAACAAUUUACAUAUGGAAUGAUUUCACACAAUUUUGAUUUUCCUAACAUUUCUCAACAAUCGUUUAUUGACGUUUUAAACAAAUUCAAUGACCUUCAACUUUUUUUGAAUGAAUUUGAUAAAAUUUCAAAGGUUGAUAAAGAUUUCUUCAGAAGGAAUUUUGCAAAAGUUGAUGUUUUCUACAAAGAAAUGAGCUUUCAGAAGAUAAUACAACAAGAAAAAUUUGCAUUUCUCUCUUUCAUCUCUGAAAUUGGUGGAUUUUUAGGUUUGGUUUUAGGCGCUUCUGUCAUAACAAUUAUUGAAUUUAUUGAUUUUUUUGCCCUUAAGCUAACAUCAAAAAUCUUUAGGAGAAUUUGAGAAAACUGAAAAUUGAAGGUAGGGACAUUUAAUUAAAAGAUUAUUAAACCUUUCACAAACAUUCUUUGUCAAUUUGCAGUUUUCUAAUUCUAAGGGUCAGGGGUAAUCAAAAAGGUUAGGGAGUGACAAGGGCUAGGUUAGGGUUAGGGUUAAAUCAUGCAUUGUUUUAAUGAAUUUAAUACAUUUUCAAAUUCAAUACAAACUUUAGCAGAGAGAUUAUUUUCCCUUAGAUUAAUACUUUCAAGUUUUUUGCACUUUUUUAAAAGUUUUAUUGUCAAAACAACAGUUUCUAAAACUAAUUGCCUUCAAUGUAUUUGAUGAUUUUUCCAAUUCUUUGCAUAUAUGGAAUAGUUCAUCAUUUAAAAUUAAAUUGGAAGAUAAAUUGACUUUUUCAAUUUUUUAACAUUUACUCAAUAGUUGUGUUAGCCUAUUACAACUUUCAUCCAUAAAGUCACAAUAUGAACAAUCAAUUUCUUUUAAACUUUUUACUGAUUUCCUAAGUCCAUUACAGAUUAUAGGCCAAAAAUUAUCUUGAUAAAAAGAAUUGAUGAAAUGUUGAUCAAAAAGAAAAAAAAGUUAUGUGUUUCAUGUUCAUCAAAGUAAGGAAAAGAUGAAGAGAAAUUUACAGUUUUGAAACGCAAUGAGUAACGAGAUAAGCGUUACAGCGGCUACAAAACAUCAAUUUUUGUUUAAACGAUUGUAUUAUUCAUCACAAUUUAUUGAUUGUUGUAAUAUUUCUCAAACUCAUCAACGGAUAUCUUAUGAAUAACUUGG
rnacentral:misc_RNA from 1 species